UCGCGGCCGUGGGUGCCAUCGGCAAGGGCCGGGUGCCGUUCGCGGCGGCGUUCGGCAUCGCCGCGGUCGACGUCGUGGUUCUGGCCGUGGGUGGCUAU
rnacentral:tRNA from 1 species